GACGGGAGGGGCAAGCGUUACCCGGAAUUACUGGGUGUAAAGGGCAUGUAGGUUGUAUGGUGUGUCUGGUUUGAAAUCCUCUGGCUCAACCAGAGAAGUGGACCUGAUACUACCAAACUAGAGUUUGGGAGAGGAAAGCGGAACUGCCGGUGUAGCGGUGAAAUGCGUAGAUAUCGGCAGGAACACCAAUGGCGAAGGCAGCUUUCUAUCCUGAAACUGACACUGAGAUGCGAAAGCGUGGGGAG
rnacentral:rRNA from 1 species